GCUCGCUUGGCUCAGUUGGUUAGAGCGCAGGUCUCAUACACAUGGUAUGACGAGUGUAUACUCGGUAAUCCUGAGGUCGCAAGUUCGAACCUUGCAGCGAGCA
rnacentral:tRNA from 1 species